GCGGCGCCUGAAGCUCAGCUUCCCAGGCUCUGCUGAAUCUACCCUUCCUUUAGUGCGCGCAGCCACCAGGUGGCAGCCGAGGCCACGGGCAGGCAGAACAGCGCUCUAAACUGUAGGCCUGCCAGGCAGCAGCGUUCCCAAGGGCUCCCAGGACCUUCAACCAGAAAGAGAGAGUGAGCAUAUGUGCAUGUCCGUGCAAGGAAUGUACUACAAAGCCAAUUUUACUGGCAAAGGAGGAAUGGAGGAUCUGAAAGGCUAGGGGAUCCCACAGGCAGUGAGGAGCAGGUCUGGAAUUUGAACCAAUCGGCAUGAUUCCCACGCUCAAGCUUUUGGCCACCGUCCGCACUGCCAGGGACAGAAAAAAAAACCUGGGAGGAGAGCCAAGCCAAGCUGGGGAGUCAGGACCUCCCAGCCAGGUCUGGAUGGGAGGUAGGUGCCUCCACCCUGGUCCCAGAGCAAGUUCUGCUGGCUUCAGCCACCUGACUUGCCUGUGAAGUUGGGCAAAGAGGCCAGAGCAGACUGUGUGUGAUUCUGGCCCCACCCCCAGCACCUCUACCCCCACCUUUCCUACCCCUAGGCUGCGGGAAGAGGCUUUGCCCAGCAAUAGUCCUGAUCUGAUGGCCGCUUGAAGCACAAUAAACAGAUAGUAUUUC